CCCUUAGAUGUUCUGGGCCGCACGCGCGCUACACUGAUGCAUUCAACGAGUUUCUUCCUGGUCCGAGAGGAAUGGGUAACCUUUUGAAAGCGCAUCGUGAUAGGGAUAGACUAUUGCAAUUAUUGGUCUUCAACGAGGAAUUCCUAGUAGACGUAGUUCAUCAGACUGCAUCGAUUACGUCCCUGCCCUUUGUACACACCGCCCGUCGCUCCUACCGAUUGAAUGCUCAGGUGAGCCAUUCGGACCUUCAUCAUGCCGGUUUCCGGUUUUGAUGAGGGAAAGUCUUGCGAACCUUAUCAUUUAGAGGAAGGAGAAGUCGUAACA
rnacentral:rRNA from 1 species